GGCUGGCCAGAUACAGCUGCUCCUGGCUGUUGGGACCCUCAUUUUGUGCCGGUACUGCUGAGAUCUCUCCUGGAGUGUAGGCUGAAGAAGGCUGUGGGAAUGCUGGUCCCAAAAAGGAGAAUUCAUGGGCUGCUGAAACCUUGUACUUGCAUUGCCUAUGGCGCUGCGGUAGUAUCCUUCUGCCCCUGCUCUGAGGGAACCCCGUUGGUAUUACAGCAGUGAAGAAGCUCCCACAGUUCUGGAUGCAGAGGUGAGUCUUUGUUCUUCAUCUCUCUACAUGCUGAAAAAUCUGCAAGGUGGCCAAAUCAGCAAAACCACAACUGUUCGAUGCACCAGUGCUGCCAUGUACCUAUGCAGGUACAGCAGUCUACAAUAUGAGGGGAAGGACAAACGCAAGAUGAUGUAUUUCCUCCUGUAUUUUCUGCAAACCAUGCAGUAUGCAAUUCAAGACAUAAUGUACUCUGUAAGUGAUGAAACAAAAGUACCAGAGCAAAGCAGAUGAUUUAUUUACUAACGGACCAUGCUGAGGUACAGUUGAAGCUGAAUAAAAACAUCACUAUUCCUAGACAGGCUCUGCUGCUUCAAGCUUCAGCUAUUUAUUCAGAUAAAUUUAGACAUAUUUGU